rnacentral:rRNA from 1 species
UAUUGGACAAUGGGCGAAAGCCUGAUCCAGCCAUGCCGCGUGUGUGAAGAAGGUCUUNNNAUUGUNAAGCACUUUAAGUUGGGNGGANGGGGUUGAAGCUAAUACCUUCAAUCUUUGACGUUACCAACAGAAUAAGCACCGGCUAACUCUGUGCCAGCAGCCGCGGUAAUACAGAGGGUGCAAGCGUUAACCGGAAUUACUGGGCGUAAAGCGCGCGUAGGUGGGUCAAUAAGAUGGAAGUGAAAUCCCCGGGCUUAACCUUGGAACUGCUUUCAUAACUGCUGAGCUAGAGUACGGUAGAGGGUAGUGGAAUUUCCUGUGUAGCGGUGAAAUGCGUAGAUAUAGGAAGGAACACCAGUGGCGAAGGCGACUACCCGGACUGACACUGACACUGAGGUGCGAAAGCGUGGGGAGCAAACAGG